rnacentral:lncRNA from 1 species
UCAGGGUUUGCUUGAGCUGAAAGUCUGUGAGUCAGAAUGAACCUUUCAGAGUUGCCUGGAGGUUGCUGCAGAUUAAUUCUCACAAUCUCUGUCUAGGUUUCUCUCCAGGUUUUGUCCAGGGUUUUGUUCCAAGGAAACCUCAGAGUGUUUUUGCUUGUCUUCCUUUUUCUGUCUGAUCUCCCUCUUUUAUAACCUGAUUUUCAUGGCUUUGUGGGCUCAAAUGAGAGAGGUCCAAGUCCAAGUUUUUUUCUAUUAUAUUUUAUUAUUAU